rnacentral:RNase_P_RNA from 1 species
UAAGCUGUUCUUCUCAUCGCUCUUUUUAUAAAAAAGGGAGGAAAGUCCGGACACCGCAGAGCACCAUGCUUUCUAACAGAAAGGUUCGUUUAUACGAAACAGAAAGUGCAACAGAAAUUAUACCGUCUCAGCCUUAGGCUUGGGAUAAGGGUGAAAUUGUGAGGUAAGAGCUCACAGUUGAUGGAGGUGACUUCACAACAGGCAAACCUCAUGGGGUGCAAGACCAUGUAUAUCAGCUAAGAGUUGCUCGCUCGUGCUGAGGGGUAGGUCGCAAAAAAUAUUUGGCAACAAAUAUUGCAGAUAAAUGAUGAGAGAUUACUUUGUAAUUUACAGAAUCCGGCUUAUAGAACAGCUUUUUGU